rnacentral:tRNA from 1 species
GCCGUUAUUGGUACGUCUUACCCCUCCUAAGCGGUAGGUCGCGCGUUCGAUUCGCGCUCGGGGCACCA